CGGUUUAGCUAGGCCCACCGGGCAAUCUUAGCCCACAAGUUAUCUUAGGUUAAUUCUUAUGCAAGUUAUCUUAGGUUAAUUCUUAUGCAAGUUAUCUAGGUUAUAAAUAUAGGCUGUAAGACUCUUUUUGGAAUUAAGCAAUAAGAAUAUUAUUAUCCCUA